UGUGUGUCUGUGUGUGUGUGUUCAGAGUUUCGUGGCCAGUAAGACCAGGCCUCUGUUCUACUGGCUGGGUUUGACUGACGGCCACACCGGUGAGUGGGAAUGGCUGGACGGAACACCGUACACGGUCAUCAGGAGUGAAUGGAUGCCCGGUCAGCCGGAUGACUGGACGGCUCACGGUUUGGGAGGUGGUGAAGACUGCGCUCACUUUCAUCACGACGGACGCUAUAACGACGACCACUGCUCUCGGCGCUACCGCUAUAUCUGCAAAGCUCACGCCUCCUCCAUCUGAGACACGAAUGUCCUUCACAGCGUCAACACUUUACAACAAAACUACAUCAAACCAACAAACAACAUCAGUGUGAUUAUAAACACUAAUAAUGUUUAAUAUUUCAAGGUUUCUGAUUCUUAUAUUUACUGUAUGUAAACAACAAAA